GCAAAGGGUGUUGUGAAUACGGCAGUAUCUGCAGCAGUCCAGGCAGUUCGAGGCAGAGGAAGAGGAACUCUGACAAGGGGAGCGUUCGUGGGAGCUACAGCAGCUCCUGGAUAUAUAGCUCCAGGUUAUGGAACUCCAUAUGGUUACAGCACAGCUGCCCCUGCAUAUGGUUAAUACUUUUAAGCAGUUUUCAGCACGUUUAUCUCACUUUAUUCUCGUUCUCCUCGGACCUCCGUAGCCAUAUCACUUGUAUAAAAUAGGCUGAGAUAUAGUGACUGUAAGCUGUGAUCUCAGUAUUCAAAGCAGUUUCUGUUCAUCGCUAGCAUUAAGGCUGCUGGAACUUUGUUCCCACACAGAACCUGCAGUUCAUGAGGUCGGCUUCUGUUAAAGGCUGUACAAAGCAGAGCAGAGAAGAGCAGUGCACUGCAGUCCUGUGCCUGCUGAUGCCAGGUCCUUUUCUGGGACUGGGGAUCAGAACAGAGGCUCUGACCAGUGGAAGCAUCUUAAGACUGAAUGUUUCCUUGCUGAUGGAAUUGGCCUUGCUGUAAAUAAAUACCCUACUUUGGGAGAUAGUAUAUUAACGGUGGCAAAAGUUAUUAAUUCACUUAGUAGAUUAAUUAUAAAAUACUGAAUAUUUGUAGGCUUUUCAAUACCACAGAAAUUGGUGUUACUUGAGGAUUUCCUCAGGUAGCAU
rnacentral:lncRNA from 1 species